GAUGAACGCUGGCGGCGUGCCUAAUACAUGCAAGUCGAGCGAACGGACGAGAAGCUUGCUUUUCUGAUGUUAGCGGCGGACGGGUGAGUAACACGUGGAUAACCUACCUAUAAGACUGGGAUAACUUCGGGAAACCGGAGCUAAUACCGGAUAAUAUUUUGAACCGCAUGGUUCAAAAGUGAAAGACGGUCUUGCUGUCACUUAUAGAUGGAUCCGCGCUGCAUUAGCUAGUUGGUAAGGUAACGGCUUACCAAGGCAACGAUGCAUAGCCGACCUGAGAGGGCGACCGGCCACACUGGGACUGAGACAGGGGCGGGACUCCUCGGGGAGGCAGCAGUGGGGCAUUUUGAAAAAGGGGUGCAACCCGAAUCCAGCCAUGACGCGUGCUGGAAGAAGGCCUUCGUGUUGUAAACCGCUGUUGUUAGGGAAGAAAACAUCUGGACUAAUACCCCCGGGGGAUCACGGUCCCUAAACAAUAGACCCCGGCUCGCUAGGUG
rnacentral:rRNA from 1 species